UGGUUUGGUGCUAUCCUAGUUUUUUUCUCUAAAUAUAUCUGACUGAUAAUUAAAUAUAAUUAAUAAAUUUAUUAGUGAUAAUAACAACUAUAGCCGCUCUAACUUUUGACGUGAGAGCCCAGAGACAGAAAAUCAUUUCGCAAAUAAUAAUAUAGAUUGAACUUUAUUGUAAGAAAAUUCUAAUUUAAAAUGUAAUAUCAAAAUUUUAAGAACCCUAUUAAAUAUACAUAGAACUAAAAUCUGGGUUUGGUGAAAAGAUGAGAGUUGUAUUUAAUUUAUGAAGAAGGUUAUGAUUUGUGUUUGAAAAAUAAAAUGUGAUAAAGGUUGAACUUUAUAAGAUAUUUCUUUAUGCUUUUCCUUGUGGAAAAAGAUUGUUUGGUCAAAUAAUGAUAAAAUCAUUUUUCUCAGGAGGUGAAUGUUAGGUUUUAAUGAGACCACAAACUUUUUCACAACAACGUAAAUCUAUACUGUACUAAAAUGAAGAUAUCCUUAUCAUAUAGCUAUGCCACAUAUUUCAAAAUAAUUAACCAAUCAUAUUCUUUUUUUUUACACAUCAGACGGGCCUCAACAUGUGGGCUUCGUCCUGCUUCUGCUGUUUACGUUUGGGCCUGUUUUUUUUCAAUCACCAGCCAUAGAGGACCUGUGUGUACCUCUGCUGUUCUUUGUCGUCGUCGCGUACGAGGCGCUGUAGCUCCUGAAGUCUCCGGUUCUUGGACCGCCGUGGUAAGGCUGGAUCUGCAUCCCUCCAUCUCCAUACGGUGUUCAAACCAGGUUGACUUCUACAUAAUAUCAAAUACAUCUAUUCCAAUAUCUAUCUCCCUCUUCACAUCUCCUUCCGCUCCUCUCUACUCCAAUGAACCACGCCGUGUCUGCAUCUAUCCGACUCGCACAUUCGAGAAACGAAAAGCAGGAUAUGAAGAAGCUGUGGUGUGGUGUGGAGAUGUCAAAGGAAGGUAGCGGUGGUGGUGGUAAUGGAGCCGAGCAAGAAGAAGAAGAAGAGAAAGGCGGAGAAGAAGAGAAGACAGAGAUGCGAGGAGGAUGGAGUCGGAAGAUGACGACGGCUGCGUAGAUUAGGUUUAGGUUUUGGUUUAUUAGUUUUGGUUUAGUUAGGUGUUGGUUUAAUCUAUUUUAGUUUUUGGUUUAAUGUAUUCUGGUUUAUUAAAAUUUUUAUCCUGGUUUAGUUUUAUACUUAAUUGUAAUCUAAUUUUAAUUAAUAAAUAAAAUUUCAUUUAUAAUUAAAA